UACGUAGGGUGCGAGCGUUGUUCGGAAUUACUGGGCGUAAAGGGCGCGUAGGCGGUUCGUCAAGUCCUGUGUGAAAUCCCCCGGCUCAACUGGGGAACUGCACAGGAAACUAGCGGGCUUGAGUUCGGGAGAGGGAAGCGGAAUUCCGGGUGUAGCGGUGAAAUGCGUAGAUAUCCGGAGGAACACCGGUGGCGAAGGCGGCUUCCUGGACCGACACUGGCGCUGAGGCGCGAAAGCUAGGGGAGCAAACGGG
rnacentral:rRNA from 1 species